GCCUGGGUGGCUCAGUCGGUUGAGCGUCCGACUUCGGCUCGGGUCAUGAUCUCGCAGUUGUGAGUUCAAGCCCCGCGUCAGGCU
rnacentral:tRNA from 1 species